GUGAAUCAUCAAAUUUUUGAACGCAAAUUGCACUUUCUGGUAUUCCGGGAAGUAUGCCUGUUUGAGGGUCAGUUUUAUAAAAAUCUCGGUUUUUUCUCCCUUUCUUGGUGUCCCGUCGGUUUUGCUUCCUUUUACCUUCGGUUAAGUGGCUUAAAAUUUUUGCUUUUUUGUCCAACGUAUUUAAAUCACAUACGUUUGUUAUUG
rnacentral:misc_RNA from 1 species